rnacentral:rRNA from 1 species
CGUUCCCGGGUCUUGUACACACCGCCCGUCACACCAUGGGGGCGGGAUGUACCAGAAGUAGGUAGGCUAACCGCAAGGGGGCCGCUUACCACGGUGCGUUUCGUGACUGGGGUG